rnacentral:sRNA from 12 species
AAGCGAUGAAACGCAGGAGGGUACCGGCAAGCCUUGCUGUGCGGAGCUUUCGGGAGGGGUUGUGUAGUGAAACCUCAAGCCGGAGUAGGCAUAAGCCGAAAGAAAAUACUCAAA